rnacentral:rRNA from 1 species
UUCGUCAAGUUCGCUUCUUUCCAGCUCAAAGAUCAGGCUGCAGAGUGGUUCCAGCAGUACAAGGAUUCCAGAGGUGGACGUGUUAUCACUUGGGACGAUUUCCGUCAAGAUUUCCGCGCUCAUCACAUCCCUCAAAGUGUGAUUGAGAGUAAACGUCAGGAAUUCCGCAAUCUGAAGCAAGGCUCUUUGUCUGUCUAUGACUACAACAAGUUGUUCCAGAAGCUCGCCCGUUUUGCCAAGCAGGAUGUUCCUGAUGAGAAGAGUAUGAUCUAUCAGUUCAGGGGUGGUCUUCGUGAGGAAAUUCAGCUCGCUCUUGUCCUCUUUGAGCCGUUGAGAUACGAUGAGUUCUACAACAUGGCACUGAAGCAAGAGGCUGCUCAGAUGAGAUGUGAUGCUUCCAGGAAGCGUGCCAGAGAGGUUACUCCUUCUUCCUCUACUCAAGUGGUCAAGCAGCAGAAGUAUUGGCUUCCUCCUCCU